UUGUGAGGUAGAGGCGCGAUACUUAAUAGUUUUUCAUGGAGUUAAGAGCAAAACGAUGAUAUGAAAAAUGAGGAAAUGUCGCCGAAGUGUGAAUGUAGGCUCUCUACAUCAUGCUGGGUCUGCAGUGAAUAAUUGCAGGACUGUCUCAGAUGGAGAUCCCAACCAUCUGAGGUGAGCUAUCUCAGGA
rnacentral:ncRNA from 2 species